UACAGAGGGUGCGAGCGUUGUCCGGAAUCACUGGGCGUAAAGGGCGCGUAGGUGGCACGACAAGUCAGUGGUGAAAGCUCGACGCUCAACGUCGAGUCGGCCACUGAUACUGUUGAGCUGGAGCACUGUAGAGGCUAAUGGAAUUCCGGGUGUAGCGGUGGAAUGCGUAGAGAUCCGGAAGAACACCGGUGGCGAAGGCGGUUAGCUGGGCAGUUGCUGACACUGAGGCGCGACAGCGUGGGGAGCAAACAGGG
rnacentral:rRNA from 1 species